UAAGACGAACCGUGCGAACGUUGUUCGGAAUCACUGGGCUUAAAGGGCGCGUAGGCGGGCUCCCAAGUCCGGGGUGAAAUCUUUCGGCUCAACCGGAAAACAGCCUUGGAUACUGGGGGCCUCGAGCGAGGUAGGGGCAGCUGGAACUUCCGGUGGAGCGGUGAAAUGCGUUGAUAUCGGAAGGAACGCCGGUGGCGAAAGCGAGCUGCUGGACCUCUUCUGACGCUGAGGCGCGAAAGCCAGGGGAGCAAACGGGAUUAGAUACCCCGGUAGUCCUGGCCCUAAACGAUGAGGACUAGGUAGUGGACUAGACAUGGGUUCCCUGCCGAAGCUAAAGUGCUAAGUCCUCCGCCUGGGGAGUAUGGUCGCAAGGCUG
rnacentral:rRNA from 1 species